AACUAAUGAACUUGUAAAAGUAUAUAUUUUGAAAAUAUAAAAAAGAAUUAAUUUUCUAUUAGUUU
rnacentral:tRNA from 1 species